rnacentral:rRNA from 1 species
AGAGUUUGAUCAUGGCUCAGAAUCAACGCUGGCGGCGCGCUUAACACAUGCAAGUCGAACGGGAAAGUGGAGCAAUCCAUGAGUACAGUGGCGUACGGGUGAGUAACACGUGGGUGAUCUACCUCUUAGUGGGGAAUAACCCUGGGAAACCGGAGCUAAUACCGCAUAAGCCCGAGAGGGGAAAGUCGCAAGACGCUGAGAGAGGAGCCCGCGGCCGAUUAGCUAGUUGGUAGGGUAAAAGCCUACCAAGGCAGAGAUCGGUAGCCGGCCUGAGAGGGCACACGGCCACACUGGCACUGAAACACGGGCCAGACUCCUACGGGAGGCAGCAGUGGGGAAUCUUGCACAAUGGGGGAAACCCUGAUGCAGCGACGCCGCGUGAGCGAUGAAGCCCUUCGGGGUGUAAAGCUCUUUCGUCAGGGAAGAUAGUGACGGUACCUGGAGAAGCAGCUGCGGCUAACUACGUGCCAGCAGCCGCGGUAAUACGUAGGCAGCGAGCGUUGUUCGGAGUUACUGGGCGUAAAGGGUGUGUAGGCGGUUCUUUAAGUUUGGUGUGAAAUCUCCCGGCUCAACCGGGAGGGUGCGCCGAAUACUGAGGGACUUCGAGUGCGGGAGAGGAAAGUGGAAUUCCUGGUGUAGCGGUGAAAUGCGUAGAUAUCAGGAGGAACACCGGUGGUGUAGACGGCUUUCUGGACCGUAACUGACGCUGAGACACGAAAGCGUGGGUAGCAAACAGGAUUAGAUACCCCAGUAGUCC